rnacentral:misc_RNA from 1 species
GCUCUACAGUUGAUUUGGAAAAUUGAAGUUUAAAACAUAAAUAAAAUCUUGUUCAUGGUAGCAUAAAUGUCAUUUAAAGAACGUACAGGAACAAGAAGCAAUUAAUGCAUGAAACCGCAUUUUUCUCUGCAAACCAUUCAGUAUUUUUUCAACCAUAAAGAAAAUCUUUGAAAUAAAGGUUAAGAAUGCUAUCAAAUAAUUAAAAAAAAAGUUUCAAUCAAUAUGAAAGCCAUA